GGAGUCCUGAUAGCAAACAAGUGAGCUUCAUAUUUAGUUUUGAUUUAUAAAUAUCGCUAGCUGCUUCAGGUCCAUCCCAUGUUGAAAGCAAUAUUGCUAAAAUCAAUUACAAAUUUAACUGUUACUGGUCUUAAUUUGUUAAUAUCAAUAUUUAGUUCGUUUUUUUGCUUGUACUGUAUACAAUGUUUAAAGCAUCCACAAGCAUCUCCGUUGACAAAAUUAGCUAUGUUGGUCAAAUGUCUUAGAAAUAUGUAUGGACUUUUUGCAUGUUAGGUGGAUUAAAAGCAUUGGGUAAAAAAUCUUGUUCUUGGAUUUAAUAUUGUUAGGCAAAAGUACUGCAAUUAAGAUUUAGAUAUAAAGCUUUAUUAAGGCUAUGAGUUCAACCAUAAAUAUGGAGUUACUUAUUAGUUGUAAGUGUGAUUAUUAUUGAUAAUGCGUUUAAAUAUCUUUUCUAGUUAACUAACAUACAUAU
rnacentral:misc_RNA from 1 species